ACACCCCCUCGGGCGCCCGCAGAGUGACCCGGAGCUGGUGCAGUGGAAGAAGGAGCUGCGCGACGCGUACCGCGAGGCGCAGCAGCUGGUGCAGCGCGUGCCCAAGAUGAAGAACAAGCCGCGCUCGCCCGUCGUGGAGCUGAGCAAGGUGCCGCUGGUCCAGCGCGGCAGCGCCAACGGCCUCUGACCCGCCCGCCUUUUAUAAACCUCUAAUUUAUUUUGUCGGAUUUUUAUUAUUUGUUUUCCCGCCAAGCGGAAAAGGUUUUAUUUUGUAAUUAUUGUGAUUUCCUGUGGCCCCAGCCUGGCCCAGCCCCCGGGAGGGGGGCCCCGCUUGCCUUGGCUCCUGCUGCCACCAACCCAGCCACUGUCCAGCCACCCUCAGCCCUGACCCUCGGGGGCCUCCCCUCCCAGUGUCUUCCUGUGGGGGGCGGGGGGUGCGGAGAGCAGCAGCCCCGGCGGCCCUCCCAGCCCUUCCCCGGGGACGUCACCACACCAGGUUGUGCCCCCUCAGGCUCUGGGCUGUGCUCUGAGGGUGGCCCCGCGUCCCCCCUACCCGGGGGAGGCCGCAGCACAGGGGCACUACUUGAAUUUUCCCACCGCAGCCCCUCCUGCGCCAGGGGCACAGUCCUGCACUGUCCCGUCCUCCAGCCGGUUGGUGGAGGAGGGGCCGGUGAUCUCCCUGACCCCAGGGCCUCACCACAGCGACUUGAGUUUGUGUGCCCUUGCCUGGGAAGAAGCCGUGUCCCUGGCUGCCUCCAUCCCCACGGUCUGCGGUCGCUGAGGGGCUUGGUCGGGAGGGUGGGCCUUGGCAGCAGGUUCCGCUGCCCUCCGUGUGGUCCCCCCUUCCUCCCACCCCAAGCGCCCGGGCUCAGGGACCACAGAAAGGCAGCUGUGGGCUGUGGUACACUGGCCUCGCUUGGCCUCGAGGUCCCCUGCCCGCCCCCUCCUGGGUUGGGCCAGGCCUCGUCUGCCCAGGACCAGAGGGGAGCAGCAUGGACAGGCCGGGCAGCACAGCGAGAGGGGCCGGGUGGGGCCAGCCCUCGCCACCCCUGGCCGGUCCGUGUGCUCCCCUCGGGCUGUCUAGCCCCAUCGCCCCAUGUCCCGUCAGUGCCACUGCCCACGGGGCGCCACCCCGCCCGCCGCAUGCCCCCUUGUGCCAGUCACGCUGCCGUAUGUGGUGUCGCGCCCUCUCCCCCUGGGGCUGGGUUGGCGCGCCCUCCCCUCCCAUCUACUCGCUCCCCGGGGCGUUCCUUUGCCGAUUUUUGAAUGUGAUUUUAAAGAGUGGAAAAUGAGACUAUUCGUUUUUAUAAAAAAUGGUGCCUG
rnacentral:lncRNA from 1 species